rnacentral:rRNA from 1 species
UACGUAGGGUGCAAGCGUUGUCCGGAAUUAUUGGGCGUAAAGAGCUCGUAGGCGGCUUGUCACGUCGACUGUGAAAACCCGGGGCUCAACUCCGGGCCUGCAGUCGAUACGGGCUGGCUUGAGUGCGGUAGGGGAGACUGGAAUUCCUGGUGUAGCGGUGAAAUGCGCAGAUAUCAGGAGGAACACCGGUGGCGAAGGCGGCCUUCUGGGCCUGUUCUGACGCUGAGGAGCGAAAGCGUGGGGAGCAAACAGG